rnacentral:rRNA from 1 species
UAGGGAAUCUUCGGCAAUGGACGAAAGUCUGACCGAGCAACGCCGCGUGAGUGAAGAAGGUUUUCGGAUCGUAAAACUCUGUUGUUAGAGAAGAACAAGGACGGUAGUAACUGAACGUUCUCUGACGGUAUCUAACCAGAAAGCCACGGCUAACUACGUGCCAGCAGCCGCGGUAAUACGUCGGUGGCAAGCGUUGUCCGGAUGUAUUGAGCGUAAAGCGAUCGCAGGCGGUUUCUUAAGUAUGAUGUGAAAGCCCCCGGCACUACCGGGGCGGGUCUUUGGAAACUGGGAGACUUGAGUGCACAAGAGGAGGGUGGAAUUCCGUGUGUAGCGGUGAAAUGCAUAGAUAUAUGAUGGAACAACAGUGGCGUAGGCGGCUCACUAGUCUAUAACUGACGCUGAGGCUCGAAAGCGUGGGGAGCAAACAGG